rnacentral:lncRNA from 1 species
UGCAAAAAAAGGGAAACAAAAAAUAUGUCUUAAUAUUAAUAUAUAAGAAAAAUCAAAAACACCAACGGGACCGAUGGUGCAUCAUCAGUGACAAUCAUUUAAUUAAUAGGUUUUAUACGGGUCAAGUGUUAUUGUGCUAUUGUAUCAAGUCGAAAUCAAAUCAUCGGAGGCAAUCUCUUGGAGCUCCUUCGUCGCCGCCGUCACAAAUCCUUUGUUUAUAUUCAUUUUCUUCGCCAUCGCUGCAACUACCAUCAUAUGGAUUUUUACAAUGCGUUUAUCAGCUAAAGCAUACCUCUCAAUAUCUACUAUUAGCCCAUACUUAAUUUGAGAUUCUGAUAGUUUUUUCCCAAUAAAUGAUUCUACGCUCUACUUAA